GGCAGCUCAAGUGAUGACCGAUUUUAUUGGGCCUAAAGCGUCCGUAGCUGGCCGCGCAAGUCUGUCGGGAAAUCCACCCGCUCAACGGGUGGGCGUCCGGCGGAAACUGUGCGGCUUGGGACAGGAAGGCUCGAGGGGUACGUUCGGGGUAGGAGUGAAAUCCCGUAAUCCUGAACGGACCACCGAUGGCGAAAGCACCUCGAGAGGACUGAUCCGACAGUGAGGGACGAAAGCUGGGGUCUCGAACCGG
rnacentral:rRNA from 1 species